CAGCUCUAUGAAUUUUCAUCUGUGACCAUGGUGUAACCAAUCACUCAGAUAAACAUAUGAAACAUUCCUCCUCUUCUAGAAGUUUCCCUCAUUCUCCUUUCCAGCCAAUACUGAUCUCUAUCACCCCAAACAAGGCCAAUCCUGAUCUCUAUCACCAUAGAUUAGUCUUCUCUAGAGUUUCCUACAAACGAAAUCAAACAGCUCAUCUCUAGCUUCUUUCACUAACUUUUUUUUGUGAUUCAUGUCAUUUCAUGUAUCAAUAAUUGUUGAGUAUUCCGUUAUGACUAUAUCACCAUCUCUUUAACCAUUCGCUUAUUGAUGGCCAUCUGUAAUGCUCCAGUCUUUAUCUAUCAUAAAUAAAAUUGCUAUAAACGUCUGUGUACAUGUCUUUGUAUGCACAAGUGCUUUUCCUUCUUAUGGAUGUAUAUGUGGGAGAGAGAUGGCUGUGCCUUUGGAAAAAUGCUUGUUUAGUUUUAUAAGAAACAGCCAAUCUUCCAAAGUGGUUAUACUAUUUUACAGUCCCCACCAGGAGUACAUGAGAGUUUGUUGUUCCACAUCUUUGCCAACACUUGGUAUUAUCAGUCUUUUCAAUUUUAACCAUUCAAAUUUAACGCCCUCUUCUGACGGGGAUGCACUAUAACCUCCCUGUGGUUUUAUUUUUUAUGUGACUAAUGCUGGAGAACUUUUCAUGCACUUAAUGCACAAAAGAAGACAUGCAAAUCACACUAUCUUUUCAGCUCCACCUGGAUCCCAUGCAAUUGCUUCUCUGCAGGAGGUCUUCCUGGACUUAGAAGCUUGCAGAUGCAGUCUGGAGAUGUGAAAGAGGUAACACCCCAGGGGCAAUCUUCUAACAAUGACAGUAGAUAAAUGAUGCACCUUCUCAUUCCUCCAGCAUGUGGACCCUAAGGUACAUUUCUCAAUGAUUCUUGGAAGGGCACCAGUGGGACUGAGCCCAUAGCCCGUCAAAGUCACCAACUCCUUCACAUCCCCUUUAUUAGCUUGUAUCCCUUCCCCAUCGUUCUUCCCUAUUCCUUCCUUUGCUCUUUCUGGUGUUGCCUCCCAAGUAAACAGCAUGUACCCAAGUCUGUUUCAGGAUCUGCUCUGAGGGUAACCCAAACUGAGAUGGAAGACACCCCAGGGAUUAGCAAGAGGAGGAAGCUGCUACCUCCCUGGAAGCUGGAAGAACACAGGAAGGGGGUGGUGUUACUACUGGGACCUGGGGGCACCUGGCAGAAGCUGGAAUAGCAGUGAGAUUGUUCAGGGGAACCUGAUGCCUCCAAGGAAUCCAAUACUGUCAGACAAAGCCCAAACUGGAGAGAAAGGGGAGAAGGGCUCCUCCCCUGUCCCUACCCUCAAAUUUCCUGCUCGAGCUUCCCAUUGAUAAGAGUGCAGACAGAAUCUAGAUGACACAGGAGCCUGGGAAACACAGCCUGCAGGGUCAGCCUCUAAGAUUCAGAGCUGAGCUGGAUAAGAAUGAGGCAUGGUUACAGGGAAAACAAGCCCAGACCCAGAGGGAAACAAGUGCAGGGGGUCCUCCCAGGAGCCUAGGGAGGACCCCCUCUCCUCCUCCAGUGGACAUCCACACCAGAUCAACAACUACCCUCUUGGCUGCUGCUUCUUCCCCAAGGCUCUGUGUGGGAUGCUCCGUUUCUCCAUCACUUGGAUCCCGAGCAUGAUGGCUGCCCCCUAGAUGCAGGGCAUGGCCUGGUGCCCCUUCUUGCUGGGCACUUGGAGCUUUUGCUUCCUCCAGGGUGGUGGGAUGCUUAGGUAUCUUCUGUCUGCAAUACUGAAACCUACUCAGGUGGAAAAUGGCAGACAGGCUGCCAAGCAAAAGGAUUCCUUCCCUCCACAGCAGGAGGGCAGUCCUUUGAACCAGUGCCAGGGAUGCCGGAUGCCUCUGCUGGCACGGCCACCCUAGCAGAUGGAAUUUACAGACCUUGGUGCCCUGCAAGGGAAGUUAGGCAGAGGAGAAAAAAAAUCCAGGCUGGCGCCUUUGUGUUUAUCCAGCCCAUCCACUAACAGGUCAAAUGACCUUGGGGAAAUCAUCUCAACUCCCCCAACCUCUGCUUUGCCAUCUGUGAAAUGGGAUCAGAUAGCCAUAUUACUUUUCUCAUAGCGUGUUGAGUGGAUUCAUGUCCAAAGAAGUAUCUUUUAAUAGGAUGAAGGUAAAGAACUUAUCUUUGCCCUCUACAUUCUGCUCAGAAAAGGUGACAUUGAAGAAGUACACCAGGAAGCCCGGUUUGUCUUCAGCGCAGUCAUGUGAUGGGAAAACUCUAAAUGUGGCCCCUAGUGAUUAAUGAUUAAGUAGGUGCUUAGUAAGUGUUUGCUAAAUACACAAAUACAGCAGUAUCAGCUCCUUACCACUUAUUAAACCAGAUCUAGAUUAAUAUCUAGUAAUCGAAGCUAACCUUGCUGCCCCUUCAUUUCUCCAGAGGGAACUUUGGGGAUAUGGUACCUACUCAUGGGGGCCUUAUGAGAAUUAGGAAGUUAGUUCACGGGAAGUGCUUAGAACAGGGCCUGCCACAUCGUCACUACUCAUAAAUGUUGGUUAUCUCCAGAUUCAUGCUGUCCAGUGUGGUAGCCUCCAGCCCCGAGUGACUAUUUAAAUGAAUUGAAAUUGAAUAAAAUUCAGAAUUUAGUUCCUCAUCCCAUUAACUACAUUUCAAGUGCUCAAGAGCCAGUGUUUUAGAGAGCAAAGGGGUGAGAGACAUCCCCAUCACUGGAAAGUUCCAUUAGAUGGAGCUGCAGCAGAGGAUGCAUGAGCAACAUUAACAGCGGUUACAUUCAGGGAGGAGAACCUGGAGAUGGUGAGGUCAUGGGUCAGAGAGAUAUUUUCCUCUUUUGUACAUUUGGAACUUCUGCUUUAUGUGAGCACUUAUUACUUAACAAAACACAAAAACAAGAUACCUCAUUAAGCAACUUUUUUUGGCCCCACCCUCAGCAUAUGGAAGUUGCCAGGCCAGGGUCUGAACCCCAUCAUAGCAGUGACCCAAGCCUUGACAGUGACAUGAGAUCCUUUAACUGCUAGACCACAGGGGAACUCCUCAGCAACCCUUUUUAUAGAAGAGAAUCUGAGGUCCAAGGCCACAGUGAAGGGUCGAGGCUGGAACCUCCUAUCUGACCUAGAGCUUAGGGCCUCGACCACCAGGCAGGUGGGAUGCUAAUUCAAAUGGAUGUGGGGAGCCACAAAAGCAGGAGAUGUUUCUCCAGCCCUGGAGACCCCAGGACCUACUUCCCUCAUUUAGUCCUGACCAGGGACCACCUUGUAACACCCCUUAGGGAAGAGGGAGUCAGAUCUGUGGAGCCCACAUGAUGUGGACUGUGCUAAGAGCUCUAGUGUCAAGAGGCACUGGUUCAAAUCCAGCUCCACACCAAAUUGCUGUGAUCUUGUGCCUUGGCCUUCUCACCGCAGACUGGGCACUGUAACCAGCCCAUGGUCACAGGGCUGCUGCCAAGGUAAAGUGAGGCAAUAUGAAGAGCUGGGCUCAAAAUGAUUCUGCAAUAUGGGUGAGUUAAUUAUUGGUAUAGUAAACCUUUAAAGCUGGCCUCUGAAGAAAAGCACAUGAAAGGGGAGCCAUUUGUGACCCCCUUGAAGUGUCUUCCUGAAAAGCACAAAUGGAGAGGGCUGGAGGGAGGAGGCAGCCUAUCUCUAAUUUACCCAUCAUGCCCAUUACCUGGCAUGUUCCCCUUGGCCUUGCAAAGUGAAAAGCACUACCUUCUGAUAAAGCACUACCUAUGGCCAAAGGCAGGAGUGGCCUUGAGGAAUAUUUAUGGGGCUGUCACAUGGGUGUUCCAGAUUUCCCUGACAGUCCCAAGGUGAAGCAACAAUUUCGUAUCUGCCAUUAAUCUUGCAAAUAAAGGCAUGAAGUGGCCACUGCUGGGAGUUUUCCUAUUAAUUGAUUGUGGCUUCAGAACAGAAUUCAGAGCUCAUUAGGCAGGGCUGGGAGCAGUGGGCCCACAGCCCUUCUAUUGCAGGUGGUGGUUGCCACGUGACACAUGCAGCUCACUGUGGCCCUGGCGUAUUGAUGGGUAUCCACCAGCACUGGUAUCCAGAAGCGCAAGAGGGAGAAGGAGCCACGGGGUGGAGAACGGUAUGCUUCCACUGAGCAAUCUUGGGGUUGUGAGAGACCUGACUACUGGGUCCUAGUCCUUCAAACCUCCAGCCCCUCUGCUAUAGGAUAGCUGAAGUUCCCCUAUUCAUGCUCCAUCUCGCAAAGACAGAUAUUCUAAUACAUGACAGCUGUGAUCCAUCACUGACAACCCAGGGUGAAUAAAGGAUUGAAGAGCAGGGUUGUUUUGAUGGAAGAAACCAGGAGGCACUGGAAGCUGGGGGGAGUGAGAGAGGACCUGUGAUGUGUAAUAGACUUUACAGUUCCUAUAGGAUGCAUGUUCAUUGGCUCAUCUGCUCACUUCUCCAGAAGUGGACCAACAGCCAUCUGACAUCCCUUUGUUAUUUUUCCUGCCUUCACUGAAACCUUUUUUUUUUUUUUUGGUCUUUUUAGGGCCACACUCAUGGGGUACGCAAGUUCCCAGGCUAGGGUAAAAUUGGAGCUGCAGCUGCCAGCCUACACCACAGCUACAACAACGUGGGAUCCAAGCCAUGUCUGUGACCUAGGCCAUAGCUCACGGCAAUGCCAGAUCCCAACCCACUGAGCGAUGCCAGAGAUCGAACCCACAUCCUCAUGGAUACUAGUUGGGUUCAUUAACUGCUCAGCCAUGAUGGGAACUCCCUUAACUGAAACUUUUGAAUACAUAUCAUUUCUCCCUCCACAUCUCAGGCCAUCUGCUCAGCGCCUGUUCCCGCAAAUGUCAACUUUGUGUUUCAGAGCCUUCUCCAGAGCACUACCAUGUGAAAUCACUAACUCAACCACUCAUUUGUUUAACCAGCCAAUAAGCCAACUAACCAACCAAACAUCCAAUAGAUCAAUAAACUGACCAUCUAAUUAGCUACCCACUCAACCAAUUAACAGAGUGAAAAACAACCAUCAACCAACUGACUAAUCAACUUAUCAGCCAACUAGCCAACUAAACAGUGAAUGAGUCAACCAGCCAUCCAAGUCCUUAACCGUUCAGUGAACAACUAAUAAAUCAUCCAACCAACCCCACAAACCAACCAACCAAAUAACUACUAACCAAUCAACCCAAGUUUACUAGUUUGGGGCAAAUCCACCCAACCAGACUCUGCUGUGGCCCAAGGAGAUGGUGGUGUGGGUUUGGGCUUUCAGCAGCCCUCCUGGUUAAGGGACCUCAUCUUUGCACUACCUUCCUGCGUAACCCUGGGCCAAGCAUUAUUCCUUCUGAGCCUGACUAAAGGUCUGUAAACUGAGGCCCUUGGGGAGAGGGGUUCGGCGGAAGGGCCCUGCGGCUCCCUUGGGAGGUAAGAGGCAGUUGGGUGGGCAGGGACUGGGGUGGUCAUCCCUGCUUUCUCCCUUGUUUUUCAUUUUUAAAAAAAUCUUUUUAAGGCUGCAACUGCAGCAUAUGUAAGUUCCCAUGCUAAGGGUUGAAUUGGAGCUGCAGCUGCUGGCCUACCCCACAGCCAUGCCAGAUCCAAGCUGUGUAUUUGUCCUACAUCAAGCCACAGUAAGAACUCCCUCUCCUUUGUUUUAUAUGUUGGGAUUUUGAAUAAGACGUUAUUUGAAAGAAGUCUUAGGCAUCUUAAAAACCUCUUUUUUUUUUUUUUUUUUUUUUUUUUUUUUUUUACCACUCUUGCCAGGAGUUCCCAGACCAGGGAUCUAACCUGAGUCACAGCAGUGACGAUACAGAAUCCUUAACUGCUAGGCCACCAGGGAACUCC
rnacentral:lncRNA from 1 species